rnacentral:misc_RNA from 1 species
GAUGAAGAACGCAGCGAAAUGCGAUAAGUAAUGUGAAUUGCAGAAUUCAGUGAAUCAUCGAAUCUUUGAACGCACAUUGCGCCCGCCAGUAUUCUGGCGGGCAUGCCUGUUCGAGCGUCAUUUCAACCAUCAAGCCCCAGGCUUGUGUUGGGGACCUGCGGCUGCCGCAGGCCCUGAAAACCAGUGGCGGGCUCGCUGUCACACCGGGCGUAGCAGAUUUUAUCUCGCUCAGGGCGUGCUGCGGGUUCCGGCCGUUAAAAAGCCUUUUUUACCCAAGGUUGACCUCGGAUCAGGUAGGAAGACCCGCUGAACUUAAGCAUAUCAAUAAGCGGAGGA